rnacentral:tRNA from 1 species
GGCAGUGUAGUAUAAAGGAGUAAGGAGUUGGUCUUGUAAUCUAAAGGUCACAGGUUCGAUUCCCUGUAAGACACUGCCG